GCAAAGGUGAGAGGGUGGGACCACGCCAUUGGUCAGUAAGUGGAGUCCUCGCCCAGGCUAGACUUCCUCUCACCUUCGGCAUCCAACAUCCUGGGGAUGUCCAAGUAUUUCUCCGCCACCUCAAAGGCAGUGUUUAGGUUGCCAAUGGGGUCAUCCUAGAUGGGCAGGAGCAGGGACAGGUGAAAUGGCAGCUGAGGGCAGAGGUGGGAAGUCGGGGGUGGGAGUGACAGAGGCCUACCUUGCGCAGUUUGGCAUAGUCGAUGAGGUCAGGGCGGUGUCGGUGGAUGAGAGCACAGAGAGCCAGGCCAUCCUUCCAGCUGGACAGACAGAAGUGGGGGUCAGUCCCGGAUUCGAGCUGAGGCUCUGUGCUUCCCUCACUCCAGGAGCAUCCCCAUCAGGACAGCCUCAUCAGUAAAAUGGAGUUGUCUAAACUCCUUGGCUUGGCAUUUGAAGCCUUUCGUUACCAGAGCUGGACCAUCUCCUCCAAGCUUAUCAUGAUUCCUUCACAUACCCUGUCCUUGGGCCACACCAAUAUCUAGAUGUUUUUGCUUACAAGGUCCCCUCUGGCUGGAAUGCGGUUCCAGGGAUGCCCCCAAUGCACCCUCCCUCACCCUCCUGGAUUCCAUCGCAACAUCGACUGAGUCCUCCUAUUUUCAGACACUGUGCCAGGAACUUGGCUGUGACCUCUCCUCUCCUGGGGCUUGUGAUAGGGGCCAGCUCUGUGCCCCAGAGCCCCGCAGAGGCCCGCGUGCAUGUGCUGACCGGCUGACAGACCUGGUGUGGAAGUUCUGCACAUUGACGUUGCGAGAUGUCCUGGAUGGCGAAGCGAAGGAUGAUGGUCCAGAUCAUGCCCAGGGUCAUCUUCAGGUUCCCGUCAACAAUCUCUGCAGGGUGGGGAGUGGGGACAGAUUCCAGCCGACAUUCAAGGCCUGUACCACCUCAGCUGCCUUCCCUCCUGCUCCGCUCUCCGGCCCUUGUCCCCCAUCCCAGAGCCGGUACCUAGUAAGUGUUCAAUCCCGGAACACCUACUAGCGCCAGGUCCUGUGCCGGCACUUUGGGCACGUUUGCCCCUUAACAGCCCCUCCCAAGAGGCAUGGAUGGUCGACUCCGUGGGUGAAGAGACUGAGGCUCACAGAAGCGACUUGACGCCGGGACCGCCCUCCAACCCCCUCCCAGGUCUUCUCCUGCCACCUCCCUACCUUCGGCACCAAUGGACACCAGCUUAACCCCCUUGCUGGCAAUGAAGUCCAGGGCCUUGUUGACAUUGGCGAUCUUGUGGAAGCGCAUCUUGCCUUUGUCUGGCCUGGGUAGCCUCUCUCCUGGGUGUAAGAGGAGAGGUCAAGGGUCAAAGGUCACAAGAAAAAGCUGAAGACCCUGUCCUCAAACUUCCCCCUCCCCCACUUCAUCCCCUCCAGCACUCUGCUGCCGCGUUCCCCCAGCUCUCCGGAUUCUCCUAGGUCCCAGGGCCCCUGUGCAUUGAUUUGCGCCCCUCACCUGAAAUGACCUCCAAGAGCAACAUGAGUUUGAGGCCA